rnacentral:rRNA from 1 species
UACGGGGGGGGUAAGCGUUGUUCGGAAUUACUGGGCGUAAAGGGCUCGUAGGCGGCCAACUAAGUCAGACGUGAAAUCCCUCAGCUUAACUGGGGAACUGCGUCUGAUACUGGAUGGCUUGGAUUCGGGAGAGGAAUGCGGAAUUCCAGGUGUAGCGGUGAAAUGCGUAGAUAUCUGGAGGAACACCGGUGGCGAAGGCGGCAUUCUGGACCGACAUUGACGCUGAGGAGCGAAAGCCAAGGGAGCAAACGGG